AGAAGGCGAAGUUAUGAAGAAGAGUAUCCCCUUGACAGAGAUUCAAGGAGACAUGAGAAAACAUAUGUGGGUUCUUACCAUGAGAUGGAUACUUUUCGUGAUCGUGAGAUUGAUUCAUACCAGGAACUUGAUAAGUUCCGUGAUGGCUAUCGCAACACGGAAAACUAUUAUGAUCAUGGGUUUGACAGGGGUGCUAGGUUUGGGGGACG
rnacentral:misc_RNA from 1 species